GACGAACCGUCCAAACGUUAUUCGGAAUCACUGGGCUUACAGAGUUCGUAGGCGGUCUGGAAAGUUGGGUGUGAAAUCCCCCGGCUCAACCGAGGAAUUGCGCUUCAAACCGGCAGGCUUGAGGAGGAUAGAGGUGGGCGGAACUGAUGGUGGAGCGGUGAAAUGCGUUGAUAUCAUCAGGAACACCGGAGGCGAAAGCGGUCCACUGGGUCCUUUCUGACGCUGAGGGACGAAAGCUAGGGGAGCGAACGGG
rnacentral:rRNA from 1 species